UAGUGUAACAACCGGUACUCUCUCUUUCGAUUCACAAUUUUACCUUUUCUCUCAAUGAAUCAAACACAGAAAACCUUAUCGUUUCUCGAAACGUUUUAGAAUCAAAACCCUUUUGAAACCUAUUUCGAAUCACAAACGUUUCAUAAUCUAUCUUUUUGGAAUCAAUCUUUCUCCAAAUCGGAAUCGUUGACCAAUUUCAAGUCUAAUUUGGAAUCCCUCUCAAUUCUUCUCUCGAUUUGUUUGCUCUCAGAGUCGGUGAUUCCUUCCUAUUGCAACAUACGCAGCAGUGUUGUGUUAAUCGAAUGUCGUAUCUUCAUCCGCCGCAGUAUUGUGUUGGUCAAAACACACCGUCUAGAUCUUUAGGGUAUGGACUUUUAAUUAUUAUAAUUAUCAUUAUUAUUGUUGUUAUUAUUAUUAGAAUUAUUAUUAUUUUGUAAUUAUUUAAUAUUUUCCUUAAAGUCUCACUUUAAUUUCGUGAAUUUUGUUAAUCUUGUAUUUUCUUAAGAGAUAAACCGUGUAUCAGUUUGAUUCAAAUUCAUAAGCUGUCAACUAUGAUUAUAUUGGUGGGUAUGAAAUUUGACUGGUUAAUUGGUUAGGUUUUGGGUAGCAGAAAAUUUAAUAACAACACCAUUAACAUUAUCUCUAAUGUCUAAAAAUUGAAGUUACUUAGUAGUCUCAAUUGAAUUUGAUUAUUUGCUUUGAUGGUUAUGAUUUAUUUGGUAAGGUUUUGUGAAUCAUCAUGGUUUAUCUUUUGAUUUUGAUUGUUAAUAGAUGUCUGCAAAGCUACUAGCAUAUGAAAAUUAGUAGCAUAUGAAAAUGACAUAAAAUAUGUGUAUAUGUUAUUACUUACUUUAUGGUGUUAUUUUUGGUUGAUUCAAAAAAAAAAACUUACUUUAUGGUGUGUUAUAUUGUGUAUAUACUAGACCUGCACCUAUCAUUUCAUCUUAAUCUUGUAUCAUGUUUUGCUUCCUUGUAUUUUGUCUUAGGCCAUAUAAAUAGUUUAAGUAAGGCUAGUAUUUAACUUAAGUAACUGUUUCUUUCACAUAUAAACUCUGUGGUGUUUGAGCAAGCAUACAUACUCCAUGGCAGAGUAUAUGCAAAGUGGCAGAGCAACUGAGAAGUUUGGUAUUGAGAUUUUUUUUAGUGUUGACACUUGAAGUUCUUAGUGGAAGUAUCCAACAAAAGAUUCAUCAUUCUAUAAAAAGGAUCUAAAUAUUGUUGGUAAGAAAAGGAUCAUCAUUUAAAGUAAUGUGGAAUGCAAUGUUGAAAGAUGCAUGACUUAUUUUCUAUGCUCAUCUAAGCCUAAGAGAUUAUACUGUGUUUAGCUUUAUCCUGUGUGUUUUAGAGAGUUUUUCUAUUUUGAUAUAUGUUUAUACUAGGAUUAUCCAAAAACUUGAAUUGUGCCUAUCUAAUAUUUUUCAAUUGAGAAUCAAGUAUUCCAAAGUUAA